rnacentral:lncRNA from 1 species
AUGGUUGUCAAGAGAAGCACAAAAAGCAUCCCAUUAGAACGGCUUCAGUCUUUUCUCUCUCUGAUUUCCUCUCCAGGUUCUCCCAACAGGACGAUAAACUCAUCUGGAAGGCAGAGGGCCUGCCCAUUCAUAAACCUGUUGAUGUGGUCCCCAGAGUACCAGUUUAAGAUGGCAAGACCAACACUGUUGAUUCUGGGGCCAGAACUGGGACAAGUCCUUGAUUUGUCUACACUAGCUGUAUACACCAUCUACCUCCUGAGAGGAUUCAUUUUUCUUCCUAUUGCUAAAAAGGAGGAGUUGAGAAGAACUGGACCAAACAGCAGGUUGAGAGUACCCACAUCUGCCAAAGGGGCAGGGGGCUCAGAUGAAAUGAACAAAGUCAUGGCCCUCACGGGGUUCAGCUUCAUUGGAAAGACAGACCAGAAACCAACUCAUGACCAUGGGGAGAGUACCAUGAGGGUAUGGACAUGCUGCACGGACCCUAAAGGAGCAUGUUCUGAACUUGACUUGAGCUGAGCUGAGCCGGGGCGAAGGGGAGGCAGCCAAGGCAGACAUCUGAGAGGAGGUGCUGGCCCUGCAGCCACCUUUUAAAAGACGGUGUAAAACAUGGCUGUCUGUGCGGCGUGUGGAAGCAGGAAAGCGGGUGAGGUCGUGUCCGGGGCCGGAGCACAGUGUGCCUCAAGAGAGAGACCAGACAUCCCGUAAGAGGCAGAGAAGGCCCAUCGCUUUAAAAGCCUCAAGCGCAAUGCCAAGGAAUUCUAUCUUUAUUCUAAAACGAAUGGGCAGUCAUUAAAGGAUACUAAGCAGAAAAAUGCAUUGACUGGACAUGCAUGUUGGAAAAUGUACUUUGAUCAAAUUUGGUGUUGUUUAUGGUCAUUUCUAUAAAGUAUUUGGCAUUGGAAACUUAGUCAGGAACUUCACCCCCUAAUAGGACCAUUCUAAUUUCUUUAUAUUUCCUCUGAAAUUGACACCCGAAAUAAAGCUGACUUCCUAUGGAACUCUAUGCAUUUUCUGACUUUCCUUCCCUGGGCCACUCUGCUCCUUGGGGCCUCCUUUUGAAUCCAAGAAAUCAAUAUAAAAGUAAUUGAAUAUAAAUAAUCUAUCCACUUCUUUCCAUUCAUUUAUUUCUCAAGGCUAGUUUUUACAUGACGCUAUAUAGAAAAAAAAAUGUGACAAGGGACCGUCACGGUGUGCUUUAAAUGCAGACGAUAACUAAUGUUGAAGACAAUGAAAAAUAAGCCCAAAUUUCUAGUCUGUUAUAGGACACUGAUUGUAUUAGUCCAUGCAGAGGAAAUUUAGAAUCAAAACCAGUUAUAAAAAACAAACAUUAAAAACAGUUUGGGAGUUACCUUGCAGUGCAGUGAAUUAAGAAUCUGCUGUUGUCACUGCCACAGCUCAGGUCACUGCUGUGGCCUGGGUCCCAUCCCUGGCCUAGGAACUUCCACAUGCCAUGGGCAUGGCAAAAAAAAAAAAAAAAAA